ensembl:lncRNA LOC108351161 uncharacterized LOC108351161
CCUUGUUCCUAUUCACUUGUGGGAGUGAUCUAUGGCUGUUGUGCAUUAGACAAUCAGGCAGCCCAGGGACCUGCAAAUGCCAUGGCCACCUAGGCUGAGUGUGGCAGAGGCUAGGAGGCAGGAGAGAUAGUUAGCAGAUGUGACUGGAACCCGACGCUUUAAGCCUGUCUCCAAACUACCCUACCGAACCAACCGAUUUCAUCCAGGCACAGCCUUUCACUGCUUCAGCCUCAGCACCUCAGCUGGAGUCAUUCAGGGGUUGUUCAGUUGAGACCUGUUGCUAAGGGACAAAGAGGCAAAAAGAAUUCAACAAAUAGUCAACCACAGGCCAAGAUCUGUGGUGUUUACUUACAGAAGUAUGCUCAGACCAGAUGACCAGAGACAUGCCAACCCAAGGGGACUUGGAAUUUCUGGAUUUGGAAGGCCACAAGACUCUAGAACAUCUGGAAAGGGCCAGAGAGAACACAUCACAUCAUUCCUGUCAUCCUUGUCAACACUGCCAUCCCCGAUGCUGAUGCGGUCCUCCUCCCUGGGUGUGGUACAGGCAUGCAAUCUUGACGUUCAGGAUGGUGAGGGAGAACUGCUUUCUCCUGACCUCAAUCUUUUCAGCCUCUUAUGUAAGGGCUUGGCUUGAAUGCAGAGUGAAAAGAUGGUCCUGUGCUGUUCUGACUGGUGCGUCGUGUCU